rnacentral:tRNA from 1 species
GGUUUGUGGCUCAGCGGUAGAGCACUUGCCUAGUAUGUGUGAGGCCCUGGAUUCGAUCCUCAGCACCA